GUAUGCCUACGGGACGCAGCAGUAGGGAAUUUUCGUCAAUGGGCGCAAGCCUGAACGAGCAAUGCCGCGUGAACGAGGAAGGUCUUCGGAUCGUAAAGUUUUGUUGAAGGGGAAAAAGAGCGGAGAGAGGAAAUGGUCUCCGAUUGAUAUUACCCUUCGAGGAAGUCACAGCUAACUACGUGCCAGCAGCCGCGGUAAUACGUAGGUGGCGAGCGUUAUCCGGAAUGAUUGGGCGUAAAGGGUGCGUAGGCGGCCUGCUAAGUCUGGAGUGAAAGGUACCGGCUCAACCGGUAUAGGCUCUGGAA
rnacentral:rRNA from 1 species